rnacentral:rRNA from 1 species
GAUGAACGCUGGCGGCGUGCCUAAUACAUGCAAGUCGAACGCUGGAAAUCUAGCUUGCUAGCUUGAAGGAGUGGCGAACGGGUGAGUAAUACAUAAGCAACCUACCCACGAAGACUGGGAUAAUCUCUGGAAACGGGGACUAAUACCGGAUAGGUAAUCGGAAGGCAUCUUCUGAUUAUUAAAGGUUAAAAACACUGGUGGAUGGGCUUAUGGCGCAUUAGUUAGUUGGUGAGGUAACGGCCCACCAAGACGAUGAUGCGUAGCCGGCCUGAGAGGGUGAACGGCCACAUUGGGACUGAGGCACGGCCCAGACUCCUACGGGAGGCAGCAGUAGGGAAUUUUCGGCAAUGGGGGAAACCCUGACCGAGCAACGCCGCGUGAGUGAUGACGGCCUUCGGGGUGUAAAGCUCUGUUGUAAGGGAAGAACGGUAGAUAGAGAAUAUCUAAAUGACGGUACCUUACCAGAAAGCCACGGCUAACUACGUG